AUAUUUUAAAAAUUCUAAUAAAUAUGUAUAAAAAUAUUUAAACAAUAACUUAAGGGGAAAUUUUACUAUUACACUUUGUUGGAUACCACUUUUCAACUUUACCAUCAGUCUAAGGACAUUUUUAGAAAUACCACUUUCAUUAAUGAGCAAAAGACAAUAAUACCCUUACCUUAUCUUCUUCUCCACCAUCAGUUUCUCUCCCUCUCCCCGAGUCCCCGUCGUCUCUCUCUCACCGUUGAGUCACCGUCGUCUCUCUCUCUCUCCGUCGAGUUCUGGCGUCUCUCUCUCACCGUCUAGUUUUGGCGUCUCUCUCUCAUCGUCAAUCUCUCUCUCACCAUCGACCUCCGGCGACGAAAUCGAUUCAAAAUCUCCAAUAUGUCGACUCCUAUACGUGAUUCACAACUUGUAUGUCUCUAAUUUCUGUAUUUGUUUGUUCUCUAAUUUCUGUAUUUUUUGUUUGAUUCGAUUUUGUGCUUUCUUUUAUCGAAAAAUCAAACAAUGUUCUCUUAGAUAUCUCUUUUAAAGAGGUCGAUCUAAGAGAAACUGAUUUGAUAGUGAAAUGUUGAGAGUGAAAAAAUUGAGUAUUUGAAAACUUAAAUCUGGUUUUGAAGUCAUAUUAAGAUUGAUCUGAAUGGUUCCGGCUAAGAAAGAGAUUUUCCGAUAGUGAAAACUGCAUAUUAAGGAAGAGAUAAUUUCUGAUAGUGAAAACUGAAUAUUAAGGAAUUAUAACUCCUUAUAAAUCUGGGUUUCAUGAGAUUGUUGAUAAAUACAACUCAAUGAUUUAUAAGUGAAGAAAAAAGAUGCAAUGAAACAAAAGUCACAGGUACAAAAGUCACAGAUCACGAAGCCAUGGCAAACAUGAAGACUAAGUUUAUGGCUUUAUGGGAUGGGUUUUCUACUGAUCCGAAUGCGAGUACUCGCCUGUGGAUUGAGAUGGGCAAGGGAACCAGAUGAGGUGGAAGCAGCUACUUUAUGUAUUUUUUUUUGUUCGAAGAAAGUCAACGAAGGUAGGUUUAGAACAUGUCGAUCUAAGGGAAAGAGUUUCGAUAGUAAACAUUGAAUUUUCAAAAAAUUAUAAACCUUUAUAAAUCUGGGUUCAAGUAAUUUUAGGAUUUUCGUUCCUCUGUUAUCCAAAAAACAAAUAAGGUUGAUUUAGACUUGUCAUUUAAAUAGUUCUAGUUAGGAGAAAGAUUUUUGGAUAGUGAACAUUGCAUUUUAAAGAAUUAUAACCUCUUAUAAAUCUGGGGCUUAGGAUAUUGUCGAUAGUACAACUUAGUGCAAUACAAGGUUUUAUAAAUAAAGGUUGUAAACAGGAGUUGAUCAUAUAUGUCUAUAAAAACAUAUAAAUGUGUGAAUUUGAAAAGUCUCGUAUUUUAUUAUAUAUUAUUUGUAAGGCUGUUAUCGAAAUACAUGAACAUUAUGAUUGGAUAAUAUCAUAAUGUAUUUUUAGACAAGGAUUGAAAGUUAACAUCAUCUUUUUAUUUCGUCUUACAGUUAGAUAGCAAUGAAUUGCACAUCUUUGAGAUUGCCUCUGAGGAUUUAUGAAGCUGGAACAGAACCAGUAGACAAUCCAAAAGUGAUUAUCCAAUCGGUGUCUUUGUCAAUAAUGUGAAGUGUUUAUAAAAGAUUAUAAAUGUAGUUUUAUAGGAGUUUAUAAAAUUAUAAAUUAGAGAUUUGUAGAGACUUAUAAAACGUUGUUUAUUCUU